rnacentral:rRNA from 1 species
AGAAUCAACGCUGGCGGCGUGCCUAACACAUGCAAGUCGAACGAGAAAGUGGAGCAAUCCAUGAGUAAAGUGGCGCACGGGUGAGUAACACGUGACUAACCUACCUUUUAGUGGGGGAUAACCUAGGGAAACCUGGGCUAAUACCGCAUAAUACCUACGGGUCAAAGCAGCAAUGCGCUGAAAGAGGGGGUCGCGGUCGAUUAGUUAGUUGGCAGGGUAAUGGCCUACCAAGACUGUGAUCGAUAUCCGGCCUGAGAGGGCGCACGGACACACUGGAACUGAAACACGGUCCAGACUCCUACGGGAGGCAGCAGUGGGGAAUUUUGCGCAAUGGGGGAAACCCUGACGCAGCAACGCCGCGUGGAGGAUGAAGUCCCUUGGGACGUAAACUCCUUUCGACCGGGAAGAUAAUGACGGUACCGGAAGAAGAAGCCCCGGCUAACUUCGUGCCAGCAGCCGC